rnacentral:rRNA from 1 species
UACGUAGGGUGCAAGCGUUAAUCGGAAUUACUGGGCGUAAAGCGUGCGCAGGCGGUUUUGUAAAGUCUGUCGUGAAAAUCCCCCGGGCUCAACCUGGGAAAUUGCGAUGGAGACUGCAAGGCUAGAAUCUGGCAGAGGGGGGGUAGAAUUCCACGUGAUAGCAGUGAAAUGACGCAGAAUAUCAGGAGGGAAACACCGGUGGCGAAGGCGGAUCUCUGGGCGAUUAACCUGACGCUGGAGGAAGCGGAAAGUGUACGGGGAGCGAACAGGA